rnacentral:antisense_RNA from 1 species
UGUUAUGGCAGCUGUGCGUCGGAGACCUUCGGGUCUGCCGGUAGCCUUAGGCCGGUUCGUCAACCUUCGCACAGCUGCUACCCAU